ensembl:miRNA mdo-mir-7398n mdo-mir-7398n
UGUGUGGAGGUAAGGAACUAUGCCGUUUUCUCUCUCCCGGUAAAUCCUUGCCUCUCACAGU